UACGUAGGGUGCAAGCGUUGUCCGGAAUUAUUGGGCGUAAAGAGCUCGUAGGCGGCUUGUCGCGUCGGCUGUGAAAACCUGGGGCUCAACCCCGGGCCUGCAGCCGAUACGGGCAAGCUAGAGUUCGGUAGGGGAGACUGGAAUUCCUGGCGUAGCGGUGAAAUGCGCAGAUAUCAGGAGGAACACCGGUGGCGAAGGCGGGUCUCUGGGCCGAAACUGACGCUGAGGAGCGAAAGCGUGGGGAGCAAACAGG
rnacentral:rRNA from 1 species